AAGGCUGAUGAGGUAGUUUAUAAAGCUGCGAGUGUUCUUUCUUCGCAGAUUUUAGGCUAUCUCGACAGCCUC
rnacentral:pre_miRNA from 1 species